rnacentral:misc_RNA from 1 species
GGUGCACAAUAUAUCUCAACACCUAAAAAUUAAAUGAUCAGAAAUUAAGAUGAAAUGUGUGAAAGUCAAGGGUAGAAAAGAACAGAGCAGUCUAAUUCCAGCCAAAACAAUAAUGUUAUGCACAUCAUAAUCAUAUGUCAAGCAAAUAAUAUAUGCUUUCAACCAAAACUACCCAGGUGCAGUUGAUUUCAAUUAUUAAGAUGUAAUUACCUAGAAGCAUUACAACCUAGAAGUAUUACACAUUUCU